GUGCCAAAAAGGUUGGGGACCGCUGUCUUAGAGGAUAGAGAUCCUCUCCCCUCUCUCUUCCUCAAAGCACUGCUCGUGAGGACAGCUGCCCAGGGCCCCCUUCCCAGGGGUCAGAGAUAGGUUCCAACAGGCAUCUUUCCUUACUACCCAAGCAGCUCUGUUGUGGGAAGAGAGGCCCAGGGCAGCAUGUGAAGCUGGGCAGCAGAUGGAGAAGGACAGCACGUGCCCUGCAGGCAGGAAGCAGCCUCAGGAGCUGGGUUCUGAGCCCAGCAUUGGCAGCCCUAUGCACUGCUGGAGGCUGGGGGCUAGGUGCCAAGGCUAGCUGGCACUGCCAGCCCUCAGCAAAGACUGGACAACGGCCCUGCGGGAUGAGGAGAGUCUGCCAACAUCCGGAGCCUCUCUUGGAGUACCUUCCACCUGUGCCAGUGUGAUGCCAGCCAUUCCCCAUCCUUAAGCCUCUCCCACUUGGUAGAAGACAGCAAGAGAUCUGGGUUCCAAUCCUGGCUCUGACAUUAAAUCAUAUGCCACCUCUCCUGAGUUCAGUUGUUCCCUCUGAAAAUAGGGGUAAUAAUCUCUACCUGAAGAAGUUGUAUGAGAAUUAAAGAAGGGUGACAUAGGUAAAUCGGAGUGGGUGGCACAUAGUAAAGCUCUGUAUGUGGCAGGACUGGGCCUGGGGACAAGACUACUGCUUUCAGCAUAGCCGGGGAAGGCCUAGGCAGAAUCCUCAUCCAAACUUCCAAAACCUAGGCCACACCCUGGGCAGGCCCUGCCUCUCAGAGGCCCAUUUUCGGCAGCAUUAUGAGAGGGCACAGCAGUCCAGACCCCAGGCCUUUGCCAAAUGUCUCAGUCAGUCCCUUGCCUGUCUCCUUCCUGGUGAGGAGCUACCUGCAGCAGCAGUGCCGGUACCUGUGGGUCAGGACGCUGUAUCACUUACAUGUCACCUGGACUAAGAACAGCGAGGCCCUGUUCUCCAGUAAGAACACCCCAACCCGCACCCUGGCUGCCCCAUAGCUCCUGUUACCCAAACAAUAACACCCAGUCACCGGGCACCUCCAGGAAUGGGGGUGGGGGUCAGGCAGCAGUACUCAGGGCUCUCCACCUUCACAGGCCCCGGAGGCAGAGGCUAGAACUUAGCCCUUCCCACUGGAGAUACAGAGGCUCGGACAAGCUGAGGACUGGCUGAGGUCACACAGCACUUCUGGGGUGAAGCUCCUGAGGAAAUCACUGCCCCCUCCCCACCAACCUGGGAAAUACUCCAGUCUUCCCCUGCCACAAAGUUCAGCGUGGGACCUCAGCUGUUGACCUGAGUUUUGGGUGGAAAGGACUUUGGAACCCAACCAAUCUGGAUUUGAAUCCCAGUUCUGCCACCUCCUCAACCUUUGGGAACUCAUCUUAUGUGUCUAAACCUCAGUUUCCUCAUAUGUGAAAUGGGAAUUAUAAUCUCAAUCUUUCAGAUAAAGAGCAAAUGUGUUAACAAGGCCCUUUGAGACCUUGGGGUAGCCCACUAUGGAUCCGUCAGUCUGGGGAAUUGAAGGGGUGAGAGAGAAGAAAACCAGCAAACGGGACUGCCUGGAAGAAGUGACUUUAGAGCUGAAAUCUUACUGAUUUGUGGGGGAGAACUAAGUGAUAAUGGUGAAAAGCUUUCUAGGUAAGAGAAACAGCAUGUGCAAAAUUUCUGAGGUGUCAAGGGACUUUUCUGCAUGUGAGCAUCUGAAGGGCACACAAGGAAGAAACUAGAGGAGGGGAGUUUGCAGAGGCCAGAGCCUGCAUGCCCCAGAGGCACUGGGCUGUGAUUUUAGGAUGUGCUAUGGGAAUGGAAUCCACUUAGGGUUUCAAGUAGGGGGAUGACUUUUAUUCAACUACUUGAACAAAUAACUGUUUGAACACCUACUACAUGAGUGCUAGGGAUUUUAUAGUAACCAAAUUAUUGUCCCUGCCGUGGGGAAGCAAGCUCAUAAUCUUUUUCUUUUUUCACCAAAGUUAGACAUGCACAAAAUUUAAGCAGAUGACAAGUAUUAGUAAGUUUUCUAUGAAAACAAAAGGCAGUUCCCCGUUUACACUUUCCCUGAGGCACCCCUUUGCAACUCUUCCAGCUGACUGUAUUUUAUAUUUAUCUCCUUAUCUUUAAAUAGAUGUGCUUAUUUUGCUACUUCUUGAUGUUUCAGUUUUAGGCACUCUCUCUUGAUUAUCUACUAUGGAAGAUGGUUUUAACUCUCCCUAUCACCAACUGUACACAUAAUCCCCACCGCCCCAACUGCCAACAUAAUUUUGGUUAGUUCUAUGUUCGUUAUUAACAUUAUUCCAUGUUAUGGAAUAAUGAUUCCUUUCCUCUGCAACUUUUUGUUUUCCCUGGACUUCAUAAUUGUCCUGUUUUGUCACUUGCUUAGUUUUUAUGUAUUCUAUUCCCCACCAAUCUAAAUCUCUUUUUAAGAUGUUCAGCCAAAUCAGGCCGGGCGCGGUGGCUCACGCCUG